CUAACAUCCCUCGGGUGGCGUUUGGUUAUUGUCUCGAGACAGAAAAGAUGGAGACAAAAACUUUUUUGGUUGAAGAGGCAGAGACAAAAUAAAUCUGUCUUUGUGAUAAUUUUAGAGUGAAUUCCUGUAUUUUCAAAACAAGAAGUAUAAGGAGACAUGUCUUAUCUACCCCCACUGUCUCCGUCUCUUAUGUUUCGAUACAGUAACCAAACGCUACCUUGAGUACAAGGAUGA
rnacentral:pre_miRNA from 1 species